GAUGAACGCUGGCGGCGUGCCUAAUACAUGCAAGUCGAGCGAACAGACGAGGAGCUUGCUCCUCUGACGUUAGCGGCGGACGGGUGAGUAACACGUGGAUAACCUACCUCUAAGACUGGGGUAACUUCGGGAAACCGGAGCUAAUACCGGAUAAUUUAUUGAACCGCAUGGGUCUAUGGUGAUAGAGGGGUUUGCUGUCAUUUAUAGAUGGAUCCGCGCCGCAUUAGUUAGUUGGUAUGGUAACGGCUUACCAAGACGACGAUGCGUAGCCGACCUGCGCGGGUGUUCGGCCACCCUGGAGCUGACACGCGGUUCAGACUCCUACGGGAGGGAGCUGUAGGGAAUUUUCCGCACAGGGCGGAAGCCUGAGCGAUCAAGGUCGCGUGAGUGAUGUAGGUCUUCGUAUCGUUAACGUUUGUAAUUGGGGAGGAAUAAAUGUGUAAGUAACGAUGAUCAAAGUGACGGUACCUCAUCAGACAGCCACGGCUAACUACGUG
rnacentral:rRNA from 1 species